rnacentral:misc_RNA from 1 species
GCUCCUUAGUGCUUUACCUCAUGAAAGUCAUACUGCAAGGGUUGCUUUUCUUGCACCGAAAUCCAUCUCUCCACAAAAGAUGGCUUGUGUGGUUCAUCUUGCAGGCACUGGAGAUCAUUCAUUUGAACGAAGAUUGCGUCUUGGUGCACCAUUGUUGAAGCAAAACAUUGCAACCAUGGUGCUGGAGAGCCCUUUCUAUGGACACAGACGCCCUAUGCUGCAGCGUGGUGCAAAACUCUUGUGUGUUAGUGACUUGCUAUUAUUAGGCAGAGCAACCAUUGAGGAGACACGCAGUCUUCUACAUUGGCUUGACUUCGAGGCAGGGUUUGGCAAGAUGGGUGUUUGUGGAUUUAGCAUGGGNNNNNNNNNCAUGCUGCAAUGGUUGGAUCACUGUACCCCACACCCGUUGCAACCCUUCCUUUUCUCUCCCCACAUUCUGCUGUUGUGGCAUUCUGUGAGGGGAUAUUGAGGCAUGGCACUGCAUGGGAUGCACUGAGAAAGGAUCUUGUCAAGAGACUGCAAUGACUCUAGAGGAGGUGCAAAAACGGAUGCGAAAUGUAUUGUCUCUCACAGAUGUCACGCGCUUUCCAAUUCCUAAGAAUCCCAGUGCUGUAAUAUUUGUUGCUGCAACUGACGAUGGCUACAUACCAAAACAUUCUGUUUUGGAGCUUCAAAAGGCCUGGCCAGGUUCAGAGGUGAGAUGGGUUACUGGAG